rnacentral:lncRNA from 1 species
AGUUAAUGAGCUUAUUUUGGUUUAGAAAUUUCCUUCUACCCAAAGGUGUUGGUAUUUCGAAAACCAAUGUGAUUUUGCUAACUAGCUACAUGAUGUGUUUUAAUAGUACCUUAUAGCAUGUUGUAUUGUCGACCCAAAAGUGACUUUAUGAUGAUGCAUCUAGACUCUUACCGUAAUAAAAUUUAUAUGUCUCGAUUUAAAUUACGGAUUAUCUAAUUAAUAGCCCAUAUUAAUUAGUUGGAUAUUUCAUCAUCCAUUUGAUUGCAUGCAUUAAGUUUGGGUGAUAUUAAGAGUGAUAUUUUAUGUUUCCACAGUUUAUAAUGUCUUAUCUCUUUCGAAUCAAUUGUCUGCUAUUGAAACUUUGACUGGGAAUAGCUAUGUGAGAUGGAAACGAGACGUAGAAAUAGCACUUGGUCUUUUGGGCUUGGAUUUUGUAAUGGAGAAAAAGCUUGAAAAACCUACAGAUAAGAGUACCGUUGAAUAUGUAACCGAGCAUGAAAAGUGGGAAAGGGCUAACAAACUCUGUUUGAAAAUUAUUAAGCGAUCGAUAUCUGAUUCCAUUCUAGGUGCCAUCCCUGAUAAUGAAAAUGCCAAAAGUUUUAUGAAUGCCAUCAGAGAAAAAUUUAUUGAGUCCGAUAAAGUCGAAACUGGGGAUCUUAUGGAUAAAUUUAUGAGCAUGAAAUAUGACGGUACAAGUGGUGUUAGGGAGCAUGUCAUGAAAAUGAUAAAUAUAUCAUCUAAACUAAAGGCUCUUGACAUUCCCAUUGCGGAGCCUUUCCUAGUCUAUUAUGUUUUGAACAGCCUUCCUAGCAAGUUUAAUCAGUUUAAGGUUGCUUAUAAGGCUCAGCGGGAUAAGUGGAAUUUGAAUGACCUCAUAGCAGUGUGUGCCCAAGAAGAGUAUAGGAUGCGCCGUAAAACUGUGCAAUUAGCUUUUCAGCCAUUACAGAAUAAGGGGCCUUCUCAUAAUCAUAAACCUAAGUUUCGUAAGGGUAAUAAGUCCCACCGAAGUCAGCAGAAUAAAAAUCUUAGUGGUCCCAAAGCAUUUAUAAAGAAAAAUGACCAAUGCAAGUUCUGUAAAAAGAAGGGUCACUGACAGAAAGACUGUUUUAAGUUCAAGACUUGAUUAGAAAAGAAGAAGAGUUCUUCAGGUAUUCCCUUGGCCUUAGUUUGUUUUGAGUCUUCUUUAGUAGAUGUACCUUUGAAUUCUUGGUGGUUAGACUCAGGAGCUAGUAUUCAUAUUGUGAAUUCCUUGCAGGGGUUCAUAAGCAAAUGGAGGCCAAGUGAGAAUGAAAUAAAUUUGAGCGUUGCAAAUGGAUUCCAAGUGAAGGUUGAAUUCAUAGGAGUAGUGAAGUUAACUUUAGAGUCUGAUUUUUAUCUUAUUUUGGAAAAUACAGUUUAUGUACCGCAGAUGAAACGGAAUUUAAUUUCUAUACCAAAACUUGAUGCUUGUGGUUUUACAUUUAAUUUUG